GAUGAACGCUGGCGGCGUGCCUAAUACAUGCAAGUCGAGCGAACGGACGAGAAGCUUGCUUCUCUGAUGUUAGCGGCGGACGGGUGAGUAACCCGUGGAUAACCUACCUAUAAGACUGGGAUAACUUCGGGAAACCGGAGCUAAUACCGGAUAAUAUUUUGAACCGCAUGGUUCAAAAGUGAAAGACGGUCUUGCUGUCACUUAUAGAUGGAUCCGCGCUGCAUUAGCUAGUUGGUAAGGUAACGGCUUACCAAGGCAACGAUGCAUAGCCGACCUGAGAGGGUGAUCGGCCACACUGGAACUGAGACACGGUCCAGACUCCUACGGGAGGCAGCGGUAGGGAAUCUUCCGCAAUGGGCGAAAGCCUGACGGAGCAACGCCGCGUGAGUGAUGAAGGUCUUCGGAUCGUAAAACUCUGUUAUUAGGGAAGAACAUAUGUGUAAGUAACUGUGCACAUCUUGACGGUACCUAAUCAGAAAGCCACGGCUAACUACGUG
rnacentral:rRNA from 1 species